GUGACCCUCCCCUCCUCUCUUCCCUCCCCCUGUAGCCCUGGACUUCAUGAUGCCUUCUUGACUGCUAGCUGAACAUGGACUUGUCUUUUUAUUUUUUUUUUUAUAAACCCAGUCACAACACAGAAAGAGGAGGAGGAGGAAGAUAGAGAGAGGGAGAGAGAGAGAGACAGGGAGAGAGUGAGUGAGAGAGAGAGAGAGAGAGAGAGAAAGAGAGAGAGAAGUAAAAAUCCUGAAGGAUGGUUCUCAAAAAUUCUAAAGGAACCACAGGGAAUUCCUUUUAAGAGCAACAGAAAGCAAGCUAGCUGAGAUAAACGGAGCUUACACAAAUAAAGACCAAGAAAGAACAAAGGGAGGAGCAGAUGACUGUGAAUGGAUAAAACAUGGCACAGGAAUUCUGAGACUUCUGGAUUUCUGGAAUUCUUCUGUGAACAGGAGAAGAAUAAAUCAAAGAAGAAUUCUUACCUUGAAAGUGAAGCUCGAUGUGGCUUCUUGCCGGAAAGUUCUACCAACCACUCCUCACAUCCUGAGUGGCACCUAAGCCUCUUCCACCCCCACUGCCUGCGCUUACUCUGAUAGAUGGCAAUGGAUUUCUGGGAAAUUCAAAUAGAUGUAUAGCCUCACUCUGCAUCAACGUGAGCACUCAGCCCGGGACCCUCUGAGAUGGCAGGAUUGCUUUCCCAGUGGGAUCAGGGCUCAACAUGGUGAGUUUGCAGGCA
rnacentral:lncRNA from 12 species